UACAGAGGUCUCAAGCGUUGUUCGGAUUCAUUGGGCGUAAAGGGUGCGUAGGUGGGUUGGUAAGUCAGUGGUGAAAUCUCCGAGCUUAACUUGGAAACUGCCAUUGAUACUAUUAAUCUUGAAUAUUGUGGAGGUCAGCGGAAUAUGUCAUGUAGCGGUGAAAUGCUUAGAGAUGACAUAGAACACCAAUUGCGAAGGCAGCUGGCUACACAUAUAUUGACACUGAGGCACGAAAGCGUGGGGAUCAAACAGG
rnacentral:rRNA from 1 species